AAGUGACUAAGCGUAC
rnacentral:rRNA from 1 species